rnacentral:rRNA from 1 species
AGGGAAGAAGCGCAAGUGACGGUACCUGCAGAAGAAGCGCCGGCUAACUACGUGCCAGCAGCCGCGGUAAUACGUAGGGCGCGAGCGUUAUCCGGAAUUAUUGGGCGUAAAGAGCUCGUAGGCGGCUUGUCGCGUCUGCUGUGAAAGCCCGGGGCUCAACCCCGGGUCUGCAGUGGGUACGGGCAGGCUGGAGUGCAGUAGGGGAGACUGGAAUUCCUGGUGUAGCGGUGAAAUGCGCAGAUAUCAGGAGGAACACCGAUGGCGAAGGCAGGUCUCUGGGCUGUAACUGACGCUGAGGAGCGAAAGCAUGGGGAGCGAACAGGAUUAGAUACCCUGGUAGUCCAUGCCGUAAACGUUGGGCACUAGGUGUGGGGGCCAUUCCACGGUUUCUGCGCCGCAGCUAACGCAUUAAGUGCCCCGCCUGGGGAGUACGGCCGCAAGGCUAAAACUCAAAGGAAUUGACGG